UGUGUGUGUGCCUGUGUGUGCAU
rnacentral:piRNA from 1 species